GGAAGAAGAGUUGGAGACGUUUUAUUCUAUUACGAGUUGUGAAGCGGUCUUGAGUUGUUCCAAAGUACUU
ensembl:ncRNA C35C5.18 ncRNA